UGCAUGUCUUUAGUUUUGUAUUCUGACUGAUUUGCUGUAGAUGUCGAUGAGUGUGCCGAUCAGCCAACACCGUGCCCCCAAAACAUGGACUGCCUCAACACACCUGGGUCAUACAUGUGUACAGACCUGGACCUGUCCUCCCUGUCUGCAGUCUCAGUGAUCUCUGCAGUAAUAGCUGUGGUUGGUGGUGUGGCCAUCAUGUUGGGCAUACUGGCCUGUUGUAGAAGGUAUUUUCCAAAGAAGCCAGAACCAAUAAACAGAACCGAUAAACAGAACCGAUAAACAGAACCGAUAAACAGAACCAAUAAACAGUGGUUGCUGUAAGAGGGACAGAUAACCAAGCGACACCUCUGGAAAUAUAGUCCUUACAUAUUUCAUUACAUUUUAGUAUUUUGUUUUAAAAAUGUGACAUAUAUCCCAAAAGUAUGCACUUGAAUGUGUUGAUAUUAAAACGUAACUUCAGAUUAUUUGUUAGAUAAUAACCUGGAAAUAAGAAAUAACUGAAUUGUAACCUCAUUUUAGACCACAGUCACAUUAUAUAUAAAACCUCAAAGGUCUGACUCAAAGUGUAGAAAGUAAUUCACUGUAUUUGGUGCAUAUGUCCCGCCGUACAGUAUUUGGACAGUGACAAUUUUUGUUGUUGUAUUUCUGUUUAGUGACAUAAAACGACGCAAUACAUUAUUUGCCAUUCAUUUCUAUUGGCCACAAAAAAAAUUCUGAAACACAACCAAAACAAACAGCAAAUGCAUCCAACAAGUUUAAGUUACAAGCUUGAUGUUGUUAUUGUGUGAUAGGAAUAUGGGACCAAAUACUAAACUAUACAAGCUUGAUGUUGUUAUUGUGUGAUAGGAAUAUGGGACCAAAUACUAAACUAUACAAGCUUGAUGUUGUUAUUGUGUGAUAGGAAUAUGGGACCAAAUACUAAACUAUACAAGCUUGAUGUUGUUAUUGUGUGAUAGGAAUAUGGGACCAAAUACUAAACUAUACAAGCUUGAUGUUGUUAUUGUGUGAUAGGAAUAUGGGACCAAAUACUAAACUAUACAAGCUUGAUGUUGUUAUUGUGUGAUAGGAAUAUGGGACCAAAUACUAAACUAUACAAGCUUGAUGUUGUUAUUGUGUGAUAGGAAUAUGGGACCAAAUACUAAACUAUACAAGCUUGAUGUUGUUAUUGUGUGAUAGGAAUAUGGGACCAAAUACUAAACUAUACAAGCUUGAUGUUGUUAUUGUGUGAUAGGAAUAUGGGACCAAAUACUAAACUAUACAAGCUUGAUGUUGUUAUUGUGUGAUAGGAAUAUGGGACCAAAUACUAAACUAUACAAGCUUGAUGUUGUUAUUGUGUGAUAGGAAUAUGGGACCAAAUACUAAACUAUACAAGCUUGAUGUUGUUAUUGUGUGAUAGGAAUAUGGGACCAAAUACUAAACUAUACAAGCUUGAUGUUGUUAUUGUGUGAUAGGAAUAUGGGACCAAAUACUAAACUAUACAAGCUUGAUGUUGUUAUUGUGUGAUAGGAAUAUGGGACCAAAUACUAAACUUUUCACUACUUUAAUACACAUAAGUGAAUUUGUCUAAAUACUUUUGGUUGCCUAAAAGUUAAAUGUACAAAAAGUGCUGUAAUUCCUAAACGGUUUACCUGAAAAUUCCCUCAAAUUAAAGCUGCCAGUCGGCACUGUCAGCUUUGAAAUCCAAAUUGCUGGAGUACAGAGCCAAAACAAAACAACAUGUGUCACAGUCCAAAUACUUGGAUAUCAGUGUAUUUGUCUGUUCUAGUCAACGUGUUUGAAGCUCAUAAACAUGAACAAGCUAACAGCAUUAAAGGGCAUUACAGUUUAAAAAUAU
ensembl:lncRNA